rnacentral:rRNA from 1 species
AUUGAACGCUGGCGGCAGGCCUAACACAUGCAAGUCGAACGAGUGGCGGACGGGUGAGUUAUGUCUGGGAAACUGCCCGAUGGAGGGGGAUAACUACUAGCAACGGUAGCUAAUACCGAAUACCAUCGGAUGUGCCCAGAUUGGAUUAGCUAGUAGGUGGGGUAACGGCUCACCUAGGCGACGAUCCCUAGCUGGUCUGAGAGGGAGACCGGCCACAUAGGGCCUGAGUGAGGGACCAAACUCCUACGGGCGGCAGCAGUGGGGAAGAUUGCACACUCGGUGAAACCCUGCUGCAGGAACGCCGGGUGCGGGAUGACGGCCUCCGGGUUGUAAACCGCUUUCAGCUAUGACGCGGUAGUGGCAGAAGAAGCACCGGCUAACUACGUGCCAGCCGCCGCGGUAAUAC